rnacentral:lncRNA from 12 species
CCAGACACGACAUUUCAAAGACCCCGUUGCCAUCCUUUCCGGGUCAUCCCGGAGCUCCUAAUAUUCCCGAAGGGGACCCCCGGGAGGAGGAGCCGAGGCUCUUCCUUACUUGCACAGUCUUCCGAGGCAGCACGACUGUGUCGGGGGCGUGGUGGCGCGGGGCGGUGGGGGCCACAGCCGUCCGCUGGCGGCGUCCGGGGUCGCGCAGGUGCCCCGCGCUCAGGUGCCCGCGCCAGGUGUGCGCGGGGCGGGCGCCGUCGGGCGGGCUCCGGGGCCCAGGGGCGCAGCCAGCGCGCCCGCGCCUCCCGCCUAACGCCCUCCGGCCGCGCGCGCCCCGCCGCCCGGGGAGGGGGGGAGGGGAGGGGAGGGGAGGGGAGGGGCGCCCUUCUGCGGACCCCAGCUCGCCCGCCGCCCCGUGGGGAGCCGGGUCUCCCUGUCCCCGACGCCCCGCGCGGCCCCAGGCCCCCAGCCCGGCGGAGGGCACGCGGGCGGGGGUGCUGGCUGCGAGCCCGCGGCCGCCGCUUACCUCCGUGGCGGGGCCGCGAGCCCCGGGCGGCUGGUGCGUGGGUGGCGGGCGCCGCGGGCCCGCGGGAGGCUCCGGGCUGUCAGGCACGGCGGACCCACGGCGGACCCACGGCGGCCCCCGCAAGCCCCGCCCGCCGCCCGGGCCCGGGCUCUGCGGCGGGGACCCAGGCGCCCCGCAGCGCCUCCCGGAGGACAAUCUUGAGCGGGGGGCCGGCCUGGGGGAGGGGGCCAGGGGCCGGGGGGAGGGGGCCGGCCGGGGGGAGGGGGUGGUGGCCGGGGGCCGGUCGGGCGCCGGUACGCGGGCCCGGACCUCGUAGGCCGGUUUCUAUGGCAGCCAGGAAGGAGGCGCCGGGGGGAGGGGGUGCGCGGCGCGGGGACACCCGUCGGAGACCCGGAGGCGGGGGUCUGGCCCUCGCACGGCAAGGAUGGGAAGCGGCGGCAGGGCCACACCCGGCUCUCAACUCACGCCGGGUGCGGAACCGCUGGAGACCCUCGAUCAAAGGUUUGCGGGUCCGUGGGAGACCGCGACCCCGUAACCUUCCCGACAGAACCGGGUUUUGA